AUUGAACGCUGGCGGCAGGCCUAACACAUGCAAGUCGAGCGGAUGAAGGGAGCUUGCUCCUGGAUUCAGCGGCGGACGGGUGAGUAAUGCCUAGGAAUCUGCCUGGUAGUGGGGGAUAACGUCCGGAAACGGGCGCUAAUACCGCAUACGUCCUGAGGGAGAAAGUGGGGGAUCUUCGGACCUCACGCUAUCAGAUGAGCCUAGGUCGGAUUAGCUAGUUGGGGGGGUAAAGGCCUACCAAGGCGACGAUCCGUAACUGGUCUGCGGGGGUGAUCAGUCAACACGGAAAUGGAAAACGGGCCCGACUCCUAAGGGAGGGAACAGGGGGGAAAUUUCGGAAAUGGGGGGAAACCCGACACAACCCAGCCGGGUGGGUGAAGAAGGGCUUCGGGUUGUAAAACCCUUUUAAUUGGGGAGAAAGGGUGGGAAGUUAACUCUUUACGUUUUUAAGGUAACCAAAAAAAAAACCACCGGUAACUUCGUG
rnacentral:rRNA from 1 species